UUAGGAGUUCAGAAUGGCAGCUGGACUAUUCAUCACCCAGACUUCACGCCCGCUACAUUCUCCAGUUACCACGCCACCGCCGACCCUUCGAGUCUACGUAGCGCAGUGUCCGUCUGUUCCUUGUCGUCGGGUGUGACGUGUAGCAGCGGCAGCAACAGCAACGGGAAGGUUGACCUACCUGACGGAGGAUUUACGUGCGGCGGAGUGACGUGCAGCCGUUGUGUGGAGCCUAGCUGACGGAAGCACAGCACGGGAGCACAGCAGGGGUUAGCACAGCGGAGGAGAGGCGUUGACGAUCCAAAGGCCUAAGCGUCUCCUCGACCAUCAAGGAGACUACCUUGCAUUGUGCCUUCACUGAACGCCCACUACCAACACCUCUGCCUCGCCAACGCCGUAUAUCAGAGGAGGACUCUUGCAUCGCGCCUACACACACUGUACUCUAACGCCGCCGCUCAGAGAUACUGGCUGAGUGGGUGAUAGCGAGGCAGGUAUGGUGAGAAGGCGGAUUGGCGACGAGAACCAGCAGAUGACGGCGGACACGUUAGGAUUCCACUAACCAGGUAGAUGUAUGUGUGGCAAGAUUGGUUGUGUGGAUGUCAUAGGAUCGGGUGUGGGGGAGAAGUGAGGGGGUGUGACGAUGUGCAUUACCGAGACUGGCGUGGGAGAUGUGAGAAUGAAGGGAUGGGAGUGUCCUGACAGGGAAGAGCCGAGAUGCUGUAUAACACGGAAGACGCUGGGAGGAGAACGAGGGAGAAAGGUGUAACUGGAGUGAGAAUGAAGGGAUAGGAUUGUCUUGACAGGGAAGGGCUGGGAUGCUACCUAACACGGGAAACGCUGGGAGAACGAGGAAGAAGGGUGUAAGUGUAAAUGGAAUAACGAGAGAGGGCGAGGGAGAGGCUGAUUGAGGCAGUGAAUGUGUGUAGUGUGGGACAGUGUGGCGUGGUACAUGUGGAGAUAAUAGGUUAAUUUGUUUGUCCUGGAGAUAAUAGGUUAAUUUGUUUGUCCAUUACAGGAGUUGGCGAUCCAAAGGCCUGAGUGCAGCGAUCCCGUGGCUUGCACCAUCAGGGAGGGACCCCGGCUUCGCACGGCCUUCACUGACCCUUCCUCAACAUCACCACCGUCGCCGCUGAGGGACUGCCUCGCAGCGCACCCCAGCGGCCCGGCAAACGCAUGCCGCCGUCGCCGCCGUCGCCGUCCAGCGAGAGAUUCAGCUUUGCAUGCACACAUUCUGCCACUCAACACCUGCCGCCCCCGCCAGACCCCCACCACCACCAUCAAGGAUUCUGCAUGGCACCUUGGCCUUGCGCGGCCGUCACCUACUGCUACUGGUACUCCUGGUGGUGGUGUUAGUGGCCAGGGAGGGAAGAGUUGCGGGUUGGCGUUGCAGUCAGUCUUCCCUCACUCAUUGUGGAUGGUGUAUUGUACUCGUGUUGUGGUGCCAUUUACUCCAUUGUAAUAAACUAGUCUGUCUUCACUGCCUCAUAUUGUGUUGUCACUGUACUCACUGCCUCAUUGUGUUGUCACUGUACUCACUGCCUCAUUGUGUUGUCACUGUACUGUGAGCUGUUGUCACUACUGAAUAAUAAAUUGUGAAGAAAU